GAGCAAGCCUUCCAGCAUGGCUGGGUCUGUGGUGAACCCUGUUCAUUCCUGUAGUGCUUGCGAGAGCAGCCCUGAGAUGGUUUGAGGCCUCGCUCUGCUCCUUUUCAGAGUGAGGUUAUAGAAAUUUCAGACAGGC
rnacentral:snoRNA from 1 species